rnacentral:tRNA from 1 species
GGGCGUUUGGCAGAACGGUUAUGCUCCUGAUUCUUAAUCAGGCUGACGCAGGUUUCUCCUAGCGGAGACGCUGCGCUAACGACUCCUGUAGCGCCCA